rnacentral:rRNA from 1 species
UACGUAGGGUGCAAGCGUUUAUCGGAAUUACUGGGCGUAAAGCGUGCGCAGGCGGUUGGGCAAGACAGAUGUGAAAUCCCCGGGCUCAACCUGGGAACUGCAUUUGUGACUGCACGGCUAGAGUGUGUCAGAGGGGGGUAGAAUUCCACGUGUAGCAGUGAAAUGCGUAGAUAUGUGGAGGAAUACCGAUGGCGAAGGCAGCCCCCUGGGAUAACACUGACGCUCAUGCACGAAAGCGUGGGGAGCAAACAGG